AUUAAUCUUCACAAUGUUGUUUAGUUUUGUAUCAAUUCCAAUAAAUGGGACAUGUUUGCAUAUAAGUAGAUAUAUGAAAGGGCUGUUCAAUUGAUGAAAAGAAUCAUUGCCAGUCUAAUGCUUUUUAUGUAUUUCUGGCAUAUAAGGUAUGCUUUUUUCCCCCCAAAAAAAAUCCCAAAAGACUUUCUAUACCUUCUGCAUUGAAGGUCAGGCUUUGGGUAGAUUUGGUAGUUUCAGUACUGCAGUAGGCCUAUCACCUCCAUAAAUGAACUCCAGAUAACUUCUUACAAAAGUGUUUUCUAGAUUUCUGUAAAGAGAUUAACAAUUAAAUGUAAAUUACAAAUACAUAAGGUUAUGCAUGUGUACUGUAAUUACAAAUAUGCUUAUUCUGUACCUAGUAAGCAAGCUUAUGCCCAAAACAGCUGUUUGCUGUUGUAAGUUCUAAUGACAACACAACUUGCACUGCCAUGUUUGUUUACAAGUGGUGACAGUGAUGGCAUAUACUGCUUUAGCAGUGAUGAUGAUGGCUUUGUGUUAAGGAUGGUUGUUGGUAAUGUCAGCAGUGGAGAGUGAUACUAUUAAUGGUGGUGAGUGAUAACUGUAAUGUUGAUAGUGGUUAGUGUUUUCAAUAAUGUUUAAUAUUGGUGAUGGUAGAGAUUAGAGGUGAUAUUUUGUAGUGCUAUUUAGCAUAAUUUAGCUUGCCAUGAGGCAUUCAGCUAGGGCAGUGUUUUUGAAAUUUUUUUCAUCAUGACUCAGUUUGAUUUUAUAUACUUCCUUCAUGACACGGUAUGUAUAUUCUAUUGAACCUUUAUACCACCAAUAUGAAAACAAAUUAAUGUACACACACACCACUGAUUGGAUGCAUCUACAGCACUUCCAAGGAUUUACCUAGAUUUUGGUUGUACAGGGGGCUGAGCUUGAGUCCUGUCUCCAUAAUGGGGAAUUGUGUGAUGUGUGAGUGCAGGGGAAGUGAAGUGUAAAUUGGGAAGUGGCCAAAUGGGUGAAAUGGGAGAGUAAUGUACAGAGAAACAUUGUCAGUGAUAUCAUGAGGGAAGAUGGCAGCUGGCUUGGGAAAUAUUUUUGAAGGUUUCAAGGAAGAAGACCUCAGUGUAGCUCAGUGAUGUGGACAUUUCAAAUAUUGAUGAAAAUUACAACUUCUGGAUGAGAAAUAGAAAAUGUAAGCAGGGUGUAGGUGUGAUGCUCCUAGUUAGAAAAGAAUUGAUGGUGGAAUCUACUACAUGUGGGGAAUGAGAGACAGAAGCACUGAAAGUAAGCUUAAAUAGGAAUCUGGGAAGAGGCCAGAAUAUUGUAGUGACCUAUGUUCCUCCUUAUUCCAACUCAUAGGGUGAGGAAGGAUACAAGAGAAUGCUGGAAGAAACAAGGGCAUGCUUAUCCAAGUUGCUGGAGGAAAAUGAGGAUACAUUAGUGAUGGAAGACUUUAAUUAUAAAGAGGUAUCAUGGAAAAAUUGGACCACAGAAGGUAGCGAGUCAUCAUGGGGGGAUCAAAUUACUGGAGUUGGCUGCUGAGACUAUUCUUACGCAGUGGGUUAAAGAAGACACAAGAUUCAGAGGAAAUAAAAUACUGUCAAGGUUGGAUCCAAUUUUCUAUUAAAGAACAAGCCAUAGUAGAGGAUUUAAAAAAACAAUCACCAAAUAGGUAAAAGUGACCGUGCACUGAUUCAGUUCUUAGUACAGACGUACCUCGGUACUCAACCAUAAUCCGUUCUGAGGUGGUGGUCGAGCACCGAUUUGUUCGAACACCGAAACCAAUUUUCCCAUAAGAAAUAUUGGAAAGUCUGGGGAAGAAAUACUCGAACAAACUGCGUACGUCUUACUCCGCUGGCGGUCUGAGUCGAACUGACGCUUACCCGCUGGCCGAGAAGGGCCGAGAAGGGCCGAGGAGCGCGUUCGGGUCGACUCAGCUAGUCAAGUACUGAAAAUCUGUUCGAGGUCCGAUGCAUUUUCUACUCGAAUUUUUUGGUCGAGCACCGAUUUGGUCGAGUAUAGAGGUGGUCGAGUACCGAGGUACGACUGUAAUGGAUAAAAUAUCAGUACAAGAAAAGAAGACCACAGGGUUGAAUUACAGUAAGACAAAUUUUGCUGGACAGCUUAGGAAGUAUUUCACUGAAGUGGAUUGGAACAAAAUAUUUCAAAUGGGUGACAUAGAAGAAAAAAGACCAUAUGAUAAACCAUAUCAUAUGGUCUGAAAGAGGUAGUAACAUCAACAGAAGUAAAGAAUAUGUUGGAGGAGCUGGAUAUAAAGAAAGCAAUGGGACUUGAUGGUGUGUUGAGUUGGAUUCUAAAGGAGUGCAGCCCACAACUAGCCAAAGUGAUACACUAUAUAGUCAGCACCACCCUGUUGGAAGGAAGAGUACCCAAUUCACAAGGCCGUAAGUAAAGAAGACCUAUUAAACUAUAGACCAGGGGUCGGCAACCUAUGGCACGCGUGCCAGACUUGGCACGCAGAGUGCUUGCCUAUGGCACGCCACGUGAUAUGGAGCAAAAAAAAAAAAGUAAAGCAACGAAAUAAUGAGAGAGAGAGAGAGAGAGAGAGAGAGAGAAAGAGAGAAUGUGUAUUGUACAUCCUUACAAUUAUGAUUUAAAUUUUCGUAUGAUUCUAAAUAAUUCUUUCUUUUGAUAUAUUAAAAUGAUUAAAUUAAAACGAAAAUGUUUUGUACCCGCGAUGAGGUGUACGUGAGCACAGCGAGAUGUAGACGAGUAUGAGACACGUUGGCCCCCGCCGCUGGUGACGCAUCAGUCAAGCAGCGCUGCUAUUUCAGUGACUAUUUAGCUGCCCUGAGUGACGCUCUUGCUAGUUACUCUCACCAUGGCUACUGCGAAAAAAGUCAAACUUGAUGUCCGAUCAUUUCAGUCAUCAUGGACAAAUGACUUUGGAUUUAUUCAACAGAAUGAUCGUGCUGUGUGUGCUCUCUGCUGCGAAAAUGUCGUGUGCCGCACAUCUAGUGUUAAAAGACACUUUGAAACAAAACACGAGAAGACUUUCAAGGACAGUGCAGACAAGACUGAAGCGAUUAAGAAAGCAGUAUCCCGCUAUGAGAAACAAAGUAAUGUGUUUAAGAAUCUGAGUGCUAGCAAAAUCAAUGCAACUGAGGCCAGUUACAAACUAGCUCUGUGUAUUGCCAAGCAUGGAAAGCCUUUUACUGAUGGAGAUUUCAUAAAAGCAGCUUUCCUAGAGUGCUCUGAGGUGCUUUUUGAUGGCAUAUCAAACAAACACAUGAUCAUCUCAAGGAUAAAAGAUAUUCCUGCCUCAGCUAGGACCGUGGAGAGACGUAUUUCUGAAAUGGCUGCUAAUGUAGGUGAGCAACAAACUGUUGCUUUAACAACUACACCUGUGUUCAGUGUGGCCCUGGAUGAAAGCGUGGAUAUAAAUGACAUUCCCCGCCUGGCUGUUUUUGCCAGGUACAGUGACACAGAGAUACACGAGGAGCUGUGCUGUCUUCAACCUAUGUAUGGCACUACCAAGGGGGAGGACAUACUGAAGACAUUCACUGACCAUUUUGAGGAGAGAGGGGUUGACAUAAGAAAGAUUUUUGCAGUUACAACAGAUGGUGCCCCUGCUAUGGUAGGAAAAAACAAGGGUUUUACCAAGCUUGUUGAGGAUAAAAUUGGACACCCCAUUUUGAAAUUGCACUGCAUAAUUCAUCAAGAAAAUUUAUGUGCCAAAAUCUCGAACUCUGAUCUCAACAAGGUGAUGGCUACUGUAACAAAAGUAGUGAAUUUUGUUGUUGCACACUCUUCUCUUACGCACAGGCAGUUUCAAGCUUUCCUUGAAGAGGUGGACAGUGCUUACAAAGAUAUACCCUUGCACAGCAGUGUUAGGUGGCUAAGCUGUGGGAAGGUAUUGGAGAGAUUUGUGGAAUGCUUUGAUGAAGUCAAGCUUUUCUUAACAGAAAAAGGCCAAGGCUACCCUGAGCUGGAGGACAGAGACUGGAUUGUGAAACUUAUGUUUCUCUCAGACAUCACCAAACAUCUAAAUGACCUCAGUCUUCUCUUGCAAGGUGCAGGAAAAACAGUGAUGGACUUGUAUGAUACUUGGAAGGCAUUUGUUGCAAAGCUUGCAGUUUACUCAUCAGAUAUUAAAAAUGGUUCUUUCCGUUACUUCAAAAACUUGAAAAACUUAUCUGCAACUCAUCCUAUCAACACUACUGAUCUUCAGGUGUACAUGCAAGAAUUGAAAUCUGAGUUCUCAAUCAGAUUUAAAGAUUUCCAAAACAUCGGCCCAGUGUUUUCCUUUUUAAUCAGACCAGACACGUUUAGAUACAGUGAGUUGGACGCAUCUCUUUUUGAGUGGAUGGAAACUGAGGAGUUGCAAAUGCAGUUAAUUGACUUUCAGGCAUCAUCAUUGUGGUCAGCUAAAUUUAAGGAUCUUCGAGAAAUAUUGGAAACUAGUACGACUGAUCAUGCAGCCUCCAUAUUAAGUUCCUGGACAUCACUGCCUGAUAAAUUCAGUUGCAUGAAGAAAGUAGCUUUUGCAUUGCUAUCAGCAUUUGGAUCUACAUAUCAGUGCGAGCAGAUAUUUUCACACAUGAAGCACAUCCUCAAUCCCCAUCGCAGCAACCUUACAACGGAUCAUUCUGAGGGUUGUGUAAAGCUCAAGGUGUCCAGAUAUUCACCUGAAAUUUCAACUUUGGCCAAAGGGAAGCAAGGGCAAGGAUCGCAUUAAUAAUGUGAGUACAAUUUUAAAAUAAAGAAGUAUAUUUUUAGUUACUAAGAAUAAUAAAUGCUACAAAAAAUGUCACAUUUAUGUUAUGUAUAUGGAGAAAAAUACAUUUUACUUUAAUUACAAUGGUCACUACAUACUCAGUCAUAGUGUAUAAUUAUGAUUUUCAUUUUCGUAGGCUACAUAUAGGGCUGAAAAAAUAACAUUUGGCACGCAAGGUAGUAAAAAAGUGGCAUGAAUUAUAAACUGGCACACUAUGUUCAAAAGGUUGCCGACCCCUGCUAUAGACCAAUAUCGCUGACAAGUAUAGUAGCAAAGACUUGUGAUAAGAUCAUCAAGAACAGAUGGGUAAAAUACCUGGAAGACAACAGUGUGAUAAGAGGGACAACUUGGAAUGAGAGAAAGAUCUUGUUUAACAAAUUUGAUAAGCUUCUACUCAAGAGUAACAGACAUGUGCAAGAGGAAGAUUGAUGGGCUGACUGCAUAUACUUAGACCUGAAAAAAAGAAUUUGAUAAAAGUAUUGUUCAGAAGGCUAAUAUGGAAACUGAAAAAUAGAGGAAGAUUAGGAGGAUCAUUAUUGAAAUGGAUGACUGACUUCUUGAUGGACAGAGAAAUGAAGACAGUAAUCAGAGGCAAUAAUUUGAAAUGGAGACCAGUAACAAGUGGAGUUCCACAAGGAUCAGUACUAGCACCAUUUAUGUUUGCAGUAUAUGUAAACGACUUGACGGAAGGGAUGACAAGCUACACAAGUCUCUUAGCUGAUGAUGCUAAAAUUAUGAGAAAAGUAACAAAUGAAGAAGACUUCAAAGCUCUGAAUCAAGACUUAAUUAAGAUAAAUGAAUGGUUGAUGAGGUGGAACUUGGAGUUUAAUGCCAAGAAAUGUAGUGCAAUGAAGUCUGGAAAAAGUGCAAGAACAGAAGGUACCUACUAUUUGGAAAUGAGAAAAUUACUAUAAGAUCAGAUGAAAAGAUCCGGAAGUAACCAUUUCUAAUAAACUGUCAUUUGUAAAGCAUGUAAACAUGAUCACUGGAAAACAUAUAAUCUGUUGAGAAACAUCAAGAUGGGAAUUAUUUACAAUGAUGAAGAUAUGAUAAAAAUGUGAUAACAACGAGAGGUACCAGAGGAUACAAGAGGAUUCAAGAGAUACCAGAGGGCAUGGAAGGAAACCGAUAAGGAGUGUUUACAGAAGAGACAUCAGGAAACAUAGCUUUCCUCAUAGGGACAUAGCAGUGUUGAGUGAAAUUAAUGAGACUGUGUGUGCCAAGAAUUUCCAUAAACUUAAAGAAAAUUUGAAUAAAAGUCAACAUAGAGAUGGGACAGCAUGAACCUAGUGUCCUUUAUUUUCCAGCACACACACACACACACACACACACACACACACACACACACACACACACACACACACACACACACACACACCACAUAGUGUAGUGGUUAGCACGCUCAGCUCACAACCAAAAAGGCCCAGGUUCGAAUCACGGGCGCGGUGAGGUAAAUGGGGAAGCUUUGUAAUGUGUCUUAUGUAUAUAUAUGUCUUUGUAAAAAGUGUCUUAUAUGGCAGGAAAUACAGUAAAUACAAUCAACACACACACACACACACACACACUUUUGGGAAGAGUACCAAAAGAUUGGAAGAGAGCAAAUAUUACACCAAUAUUCAAAGGAGGAAAUAAGAAAAACCCACUACACUUAUCCCCCAGCUAUAGCGGGUUUUGCUAACGCGGUUUAAAGCUAUCACGGGAACAAUAAAAAAACACAUUAAAUGGGCUAACGCGAAUCCUAGUGGAGCUAUCGCGGCCCAUGAGUCGUUAUAUGUCCAGGAUGUUCACGUGACAGCUACGUCAUAUUUCUUGGCCAGAUUCGCUUGCUAAUUGGCUGAAUUUGACUGACAUAUUAGGCCGUGAUUGGUUUGCACACUCCCGCUUCCUUAUCCAGCCACUCUCCCGCUCCCCCAUCCCUCUAGUCCCUCCCGCCACAGUUGACUAAGUGGCACGUGCCGUGGUGAAUCUCAAGGUCACGCGUGUGUAUCUCGGGACAAUGGCCUCUACUCCCCCUCCUGGCCACCCAGGGAGAUCGCUACCACCCAACCCGACCCAGCGAAAGGCAACAGCGGCGCCUGGGAAAGAAAUAAAAAAGAGGAAGAACCUUACAUAUGCUGUGAAAUAUGAGAUAGUGAAAUUGAUCGAGAGUGGACAAAGUAAAAGUUCAGUGGGCGCUAAGUUCGGCAUCAACGAGUCUACAGUGAGAGGUAUUUACCUUAAGAAGGACCACAUUAAGGCACAUAUGAACCUCACUAGUGAUAGUGCUGGACAUAAUGCUGUGCGAAGCUCAAAUCAUGUCCUCCUCAAGACUGAUCUAUAAAUCAUGGUGAGAUGAGGGAAAAAAAAAGGUGCCAAUAUGUUGAAUUGUGUUGCUACUCUGGCGGGCCACGAACAAUUUUUUUUUUUCCUAUGUAUUCUUAACAAUGGCUAUCGCGUUUUUAGCUAUCACGGCGAUGUUAAGGGACCAAUUUCUCACGAUAGCUGGGGGUUGAGUGUAAAUUAUAGACCAGUGUCCUUGACAAGUGUUGUAGGAAAACUAUGUGAAAGAGCAAUAAAGGAAAGAUGGAUGGAACACUUGGAAAGAGAUAGUUUUGGUAAAUUGUCAAUUUGGAUUUAGAAGGGGAAGAUCAUGCUCCAUGAACUUAUUGUCCUUUUAUUCAAGGGUAGCCGAUAUUGUGCAGGAGAGAGAUGGAUGGGUGGAUGGUGUCUGCUUAGACUUGAAGAAAGCGUUUGACAAAGUACCACACCGUAGAUUGCUGUGGAAGAUAAAAAAUUAUGGAAAAAUUGGAGGAAGGCUGCUAGAGUGGAUGGAGGAUUAUCUGGAUGAUAGAGAGAUGAUAACUCUAAUACAAGACCAAAAUUCAUCUUAGCUGAAAGUAACUAGUGGUGUCCCACAGGGGUCAGUGUUGGGACUGAUAAUGUUUGUAAUAUAUGUGAAUGACAUGAAUGAAGAAAUAGAUAGUUAUAUGAACUUAUUUGCAGAUGAUGCUAAACUGAUGAGAAAGGUAGAAAAUGUAAAUGACUGUAUGGUACUUUAAGAUGAUUUAAAUAAGAUAAAUAGAUGGAGUAAAUCUUGGCAGAUGGAAUUCAAUUUAAGUAAAUGUAAAGUAAUGGAGAGUUUGGUAAGAGUAAAAAAAGAAUACAAUAUCAUUAUAAGAUGGAUUGUAUGAAGUUAAAGAAAUCAAAAGAAGUGGAUUUGGGAGUAACAGUUACUGAUAAUUUGACUCUGGACAGACACAUUGAUAAAAUUAAUGGAGGGAUGAUGAAUUUGUUGAAAAGAGUAAGAAUGGCUUUCACAUAUUUGGAUGAAGGAAUGAUAAAAAGUUGUUGAUUUCCAUGAUAAGACCAAGAUUGGAAUAUGCAGGAGUGGUGUGGUCUCCUCAUACAGGAAGGAAUAUUAUAAAAUAUGAAAGAGUACAAAGAGCUGUCAUUAAAAUGGUUCUGGAGUUGAGUAAGUCGACCUAAGAAGAGAUAUUAAGAAUGUUGGAAAUUCCUACCCUUGAAAAUAAGAGAGAGAGAGAGAGAGAGAGAGAGAGAGAGAGAGAGAGAGAGAGAGAGAGAGAGAGAGAGAGAGAGAGAGAGAGAGAGAGAGAGAGAGAGACUCUGAGAGGAGAUUUAACAAACAUCUAUAGAAUGAUAAAUGGUAUGGAAAAUGUGGACAAAGAAUGUUUUAUAAAUUUAGACACACGGUACAAGGGAAUACAGUAAAAAGUUGAAGAAAGUUAACUGUAGAAGAGACAUCAAGAAGUAUAGUUUUCCUCACAGAAGUGUGAACAAAUGUAAUGAACUCAGUGAAGAUGUUGUCAGUGCUGUAAUUAUCCAUCCUUUUAAGACCAAACUGGAUAGAUAUAGAGACAGGAUACUACGAGAUUACUCCCCUCCUGUAAACCACAACUAGUAAAAACACACACACACACACACACACACACACACACACACACACACACACACACACACACACACACACACACACACAGUCAUGAUCAAGUCAAUAACAACAACAACAGAUGCAUUCGCUCCCAGUAAAGAGUUGAUUUUACAGGGAAUUCACACCAUUAACUGGACCUGGAAGAGGACAACAUCACCAGGAAGGCCUAGAGAUGUGGUUUGUAGGGUCUGAGUGAGUGAGUGUGAUCUCGUAAAUGAGAAAACACCGAGUGUAGAUUCAUGGCUCUAGCCGACCAGGCAUAAUUUCAAAACAAAGAUGGCAUAUUCAUUUCCAGAUUCAAUUUCACCAAGAGGUGAAGUGAACUUUGAAGGUUUUAGUGACAAAGACAGAAAUGAAAGUGAGAUAUGGUUUUUAAAAAUAAGAUUGAGAAAAGUGGAAAGUGAUGCAGAACAGCAGGAAAUGAAAAUAGUAUUGGAAGUGGUAAAAUUCCUUCAGGAUAAGCUGGAAAAGAAUCUAAGAGAAGAUGGAGAAAUUUUCAAGCUGAAAUCAGGAUUGAAGGAGAUGAGAGUGAGAGAACAAAAUAAAAAAAAAUUAGGAAUUACAAAACAACAUCGAGAAAGUAAUGAAAGAAAAUAAAGAUUUGAAGGAAGAGUUAGUGAAAGGUGAGAAGAGGAUGAGAGAGGGAGUGAUGAAGGAAGUGAAAGGCUGGAAAACUGAAAAUGAAAAAGCAAAUAUAGACUUCAAGGAAAUAAUUAAAAAGCAGCUGAAAGAGAAAAACAAAAAUGUAGAAAAGAAAGUGGAAGAGGCAUUGAAAAACAAUGAAGAUUUGAGAAGAAGGAAAGUAUUAUGUAUAGUUUAUAGAAUAAAGGAGAAAAUAUAACAUACAAAUUGAAAAAAACAAAGAAGAAACAAAAACAGUGAAGGAUUUGUUGAAGAAACUAAAUGAUGAAGAUGACACUAAACUUGAGGAAGAAAUGGAAGAAGCCAUUAGACUGGGCCCCUACCUGGAAGGCAAAACAAGACCUAUAAAAAUAAAAAUAAAAUCAGAAAAAGCUUUUUUUUUUCUUUUUUUUUUUUUUUUUUUUUUUAGGAUGGACACUGGCCAAGAGCAACGAAAAUCCAAUAAAGAAAAAAAAGCCCAUUGAGAUGCCAGUCCCAGAAAGGGGUUGAAGUGGUAACCACAAAUUGAAGGAUAAGUGUCUUGAAAUCUCGCUCUUGAAGGAAUUCAAGUCAUAGGAAGGUGGAAAUACAGAAGCAGGCAGAGAGUUCCAGAGUUUACCAGAGAUAGGGAUGAAUGAUUGAUAAUACUGGUUAACUCAUGCAUUAGAGAUGUGGACAGAAUAGGGAUGAGAGAAAGAAGAAAGUGUUGUGCAACGAAGCUGUGGGAGGCAUGCAGUUAGCAACAUCAAAAGAGCAGUUAGCAUGAAAAUAGCAGUCGAAAACAGCUAGAGAUGCAACAUUGCGGCGGUGAGAGAGAGGCUGAAGACAGUCAGUUAGAGGAGAGGAGUUGAUGAGACAAAAAGCUUUUGAUUCCACCAUGUCUAGAAGAGUGGUAUGAGUGGAACCCCCCCGUCCCCAAACAUUUGAAGCAUACUCCAUACAUGGACGGAUAAGGCCCUUGUACUCGUACAGAGUUAGCAGCUGAGGAGAUUAGAAAACUGGCAGAGACGUCUCAGAAUCCCUAACUUCAUAAAAGCUGUUUUAGCUAGAGAUGAGAUGUGAAAUUCCCAGUUCAGAUUACAAGUAAAGGACAGACUGAGGAUGUUCAUUGUAGAAGAGGGGGACAGUUGAGUGUCACUGAAGAAGAGGGGAUAGUUGUCUGGAAGGUUGUGUCAAGUUGAUAGAUGGAGGAAUUGAGUUUUUGAGGCAUUGAACAAUACCAAGUUUGCUCUGCCCCAAUCAGAAGUUUUAGAAAGAUCAGAAGUCAGGCAUUCUGUGGCUUCCCUGCAUGAAAUGUUUACUUCCUGAAGGGUUGGACGUCUAUGAAAAGACUUGGAAAAGUGCAGGGUGGCAUCAUCAGUGUAGGAGUGAAUAGGACAAGAAGUUUGGUUUGUAAGGUCAUUGAUGAAUAAUAAGAAGAGAGUGGGUGACAGGACAGAACCCAGAGGAACACCACUGUUAAUAGAUUUAGGAGAAGAACAGUGACCGUCUACCACAUCAGCAAUAGAACAGUCAGAAAGGAAACGUGAGAUAAAGUUACAGAGAGAAGGAUAGAAGCUGUAGGAGGAUAGUUUGGAAAUCAAAGCUUUGUGACAGACUCUAUCAAAAGCUUUUGAUAUAUCCAAGGCAACAGCAAAAGUUUCACCAAAAUCUCUAAAAGAGGAUGACCAAGACUCAGUAAGGAAAGCCAGAAGAUCACCAGUAGAGCGGCCUUGACGGAACCCAUACUGGCGAUCAGAUAGAAGGUUGUGAAGUGAUAGGUGUUUAAGAAUCUUCCUGUUGAGGAUAGAUUAAAAAACUUUAGAUAGGCAGGAAAUUAAAGCAAUAGGACGGUAGUUUGAGAGAUUAGAACGGUCACCCUUUUUAGGAACAGGUUGAACAGGUCAGGAAUACAAAUAGGGUGUUGCACGAGUUACUCUAGGUCGUGGAAGAUAGCAUAGUUGAAGGCUAGUUCACCAGGAUGGUCACUGAAGGGAGAGGAAAGACAAAGCUGGUGGUGAACAUUGAAGAGAGUCAAAAUGUGCUCCACUUUGGAAGUUAAGUAGUCAAAGAAUUUCUUAUAGUCAGAGGAGUUAGAUGAGAGGUAUACAGCACAGAUAAAUUUGUCAGAGGAGUUAGGUGAGAGGUAUACAGCACAGAUAAAUUUAGUUUGAGAGUGACUCUGUAGUCAUAGCCAGAUGGUGGUAAACUUGGAAGAUUCAAGAGUGUGGGCACAAGAGCAGGUUGAGUCGUUGCAGAUAUAAAUGCAACAUCCAGCUUUGGAUUGAAAAUGAGGAUAGAGAAAGUAGGAGGGAACAGAAAAGGGGCUACUGUCAGUUGCCUCAGACACCUGAGUUUCAGUGAGGAAAAGAUGAAGUUUAGUAGAGGAGAGGUGGUGUUCUACAGAUUGAAAAUUAGAUCUUAGACAACAAAUGUUGCAGAAGUUAAUGAAGGAAAAGUUGAGGGGAAUGACAAGACACUUAGGGUUGUUGUCAAAAGGGUAGUCUGACCUGGGGACAUUUGUGGUCCCUUCCCCAGAUGGGGUCUCCGAGGCUGGUGUAGGAGUCGCCAUGACAAUUUUGAAUCUGAGUGAAGAGUGUGUGUUAUUAGGUACUUAUAGUUUCGUGUGGAGGAAGAGAGUUGUCUUUAGAGGACAGGCUGUGACUGGCCCCUUGUGUUGUAAGACACAAAGAGGUCACAGCUGGGUUUAAUGAUAAGUUCACAGCAUCCCCUGAUCCAAGUGCUUUAAACCUCACUGGGAGUAAUUAUCAUUUUGGCAGGUGCCUACUUCCUCCUACUAGAAAGAACAUCCAAACUAAGAGAAGUAGAAGACUACAAGAAUAUAUACAUUAAGAAGAACAGAAAUGAAAAAUGGAAAAAAAUUGAAAGAAGUGUAUGAAGAAAAAUUAGUCAAGAACAUAAGAAUUUUUUAUUUUUAUAUAUUUAUUUAUUUAUUUAUAUAUAUUUUUUUUUAUUCAUUUAUUUAUUUUUCUUUUUUUGAGAGAGUUUUGGGAGACAGUGAAAAAAUGGUAGAUAAUGGUAAAGCAAUAGAUAUAAAUAAAAAUAGAGAAAAAUAGUAAAAACGAAGGACUAAAUGUGAUGUAUACCAACAUAGAUUGAUACUUAGAAAACUGGAAUUAUGAGAUUAAUUAAAAGAGAAAAAUCUGAUGAAACAAAGCUAAAAGAAGAAAACCUAACUGAAAUAUAUGUUGAAGAGACAGGAUUGGUAAAGGAGGGGGAGGUGUAAUGAUAAUGACAAGAAAAGAGGUGAAGACAAAUGCAAUGAAAUAUUGAGAAGAAAAGACAGAAUUAAUGAGUGUUAACUUAGAGGAUAAUAAUGGAGAAAUACUGACAGUAAUUACAACCUGUGUACCACCCAAAACAAAUUCUUAGAGCAACUAAAAAUAUGAGAAAAUAAUAGAAGAUAUCAUUCUGUGUUUGAGUAAAUUAAUCAAAAGUAAAAAAAGAGUAUUAUUAGUUGGUGACUUUAAUUGCAAAGAAGUAAAUUGGGUAAAGUUCAAGACAGAAGGAAAUGAGACUGCAUGGGGAGAAAGAUUUCUGAAGAAGACUAUGGAAAACACAAUGAUGCAAUGGGUAACUGAAAAUACAAGAUAUAGGGGAGAUGAUGAACCAGCAAGACUAGACCUAUUACUAAUGAAAGGAAUCAAUCUAACUAAAGAAUUAAGUUAUGUGUACCCCAUGGGAAAAAGUGACCAUGUAAUGGUGGAAGUAGAGACUUAUAAUGAUGUCAGUGAAGAGGAUGGAUCAUGCAAAGAAAACAGGAAAAACUAUGGAAAAGCAAUAUUGAUGAUCUUAAGAAAUUUUAUGAAGAAAUGGACUGGGUAAAGCUGAAAAGAGCAAAUAAUGUGCAAGAUAAGUAUGACAUUUUCAUGGAAAUAUAUGAGACUGGAGUGAAUAAAUAUGUCCCAUUAUACAAACCAAAAGGGAAAGGGAGACAGGUGUGGUUCAAUGCAAGAUGUGCAAGUACAGUGGAACCUCGGUUACUGAACAUCUCCCAUUCUGAACAACUCAGUUUUUUAACAAAAAUCUUAACUCUUAAUUGCUUCAGUUGCCAUACCAUAAUUCAGUUUUUCAAAUAGUACAAGAUGUAGCAAAAGCUUCCAUUUAUUACUAAUUUAUAGUUGCUAUAAAUAUUUGCCUCAUUUUUAUAUAUUUGGAGGAGAGACACAGAGGGCAAGACAGUAAUUCAGUCUUUGAAAUAAGUUAAAUGUGAUCCCGUUGAAAAAUCUCAGUGUAAACAAACAAGGUUCGGUGCUCAGGAGUGAUCCCAAGCCUCCUAUGGCUCCUGUGUGGUGUCAUGAUCACCUUCAUUUUGGCAGUGAGCAAGUUGCUCCUCUCUGUGUCACUGUAUGAUGGCAGCAAUAAAGGUGGGCUCCAUCUCUCACUCCCGGUUUGCACAGCUGGCAGAAAUGGCAGAGGAGGAUCAGAGGAAGAAAAUCACUGUUGAUCGCAGUGGCGGUGGACUAUAGCAGCAUGUAAAAACCUAAUUCUAUUUAUCUUGAUUAAUGUACUAAUAUACGACUUUUUUUUAUAAGUUUACAGUGAUUUUUGCUUCCAGAUAUAAUGAAGUUUGGAUUGGGAUUGUUACUUAUAUAUAAAGAGUACAUAAUAUAUAGAAAAUAUAUUUCUUGAUAGAGUUUGGGGAUUUUCUUAAUAUUCUUCUCAUUAUUGUUUAUCUCAGCCACAAAUGUUAUUGAAAUACAUGUACAUAAAUACCAAGGAUAUACUACUGUAAUUACUGUGUUCCACAAGAAGCAUUUAAAACAAUAAUGACUUACAGGAAAAAUGUCAAAGAAGAAUUUGAUAAUUAUGAAAUUGGAACCAAACUAGCAAACACAAAGAGAAAAGCAGUAAUUAUUGCCAUUGCCAGAUAUAAGUAGAACUAAAUGGAUUCCCGUAACACAUAAAUUUCAUUAAUGAAUAAAAAAUUAGCAUAGACUGAAAAACAUUUUCAAAAUGAAAGCAAAGGGGAAGAAAAGAUUAUUUAUUAUUUUGAUUUAAUCUUUUUAUUUUAAGUGGCCCUGACAAAAAGGAGUGUGGAAUGUACAACACCUUAUCUAAUGAUAUGUACAAUCAUGAUCAUGCAUAUUGUUCAGUAAAAAGAAAUUGAUUCUGAGUGGAACAUUGCAUGAUGACUUCAAAACCACACAGUACAGUGCUUUACAGUGACAAUGAGUAGUAUUAGUGUAAGGCUAAGCUGUGGUUGUAUGGACUUGCACUGCUGCUUAUUGGUGCAAAUUGAUGUGUUAAUAAUAAUUUUUACCAGGAACUACAUAACUUAAGUAGUUUUGAACAUUUAUCAUACUGUUAAUAUAAUCUUAUCAAUCACAUGACAGUAAAAUCACAUGAAGUGAACUAACAUAUACUGAGGGUAACCUCAUGUAUUUCUUGUAAAUCUGGUAACCACUUACCUUUCAUUUUUAUCAGUAUUAAGGCAACAAAUUCAUUAUAUGAAAUGUUGAGAGGCAAAAAUAAAGAUAUGCCAUUUGUUAA